AGCGAACGCUGGCGGCAGGCUUAACACAUGCAAGUCGAACGCCCCGCAAGGGGAGUGGCAGACGGGUGAGUAACACGUGGGAACGUACCCUUUGGUUCGGAAUAACUUGGGGAAACUCAAGCUAGUACCGGAUAAGCCCUUAUGGGGAAAGGUUUACUGCCGAAGGAUCGGCCCGCGUCUGAUUAGCUAGUUGGUGAGGUAAUGGCUCACCAAGGCGACGAUCAGUAGCUGGUCUGAGAGGAUGAUCAGCCACACUGGGACUGAGACGCGGUCCAGACUCCUACGGGAGGCAGCAGUGGGGAAUAUUGGACAAUGGGGGCAACCCUGAUCCAGCCAUGCCGCGUGAGUGAUGAAGGCCUUAGGGUUGUAAAGCUCUUUUACCCGGGACGAUAAUGACUGUACCGGGAGAAUAAGCCCCGGCUAACUUCGUGCCAGCAGCCGCCGUAA
rnacentral:rRNA from 1 species